rnacentral:misc_RNA from 1 species
UUUCCGUAGGUGAACCUGCGGAAGGAUCAUUACAGAGUUCAUGCCCUCACGGGUAGAUCUCCCACCCUUGAAUAUUUAUACCUUAGCUGCUUUGGCAGGCCGUGGAAACACCAUGGGCUCCGGCUUAUGCGUGCCUGCCAGAGGAAACAAACUCUGUUUUUAGUGAUGUCUGAGUACUAUAUAAUAGUUAAAACUUUCAACAACGGAUCUCUUGGUUCUG